GCAGUCGAGCGGUAACAGAGAUAGCUUGCUAUCUGCUGACGAGCGGCGGACGGGUGAGUAAUGCUUGGGAAUAUGCCAUAUGGUGGGGGACAGCAGUUGGAAACGACUGCUAAUACCGCAUAACGUCUACGGACCAAAGAGGGGGACCUUCGGGCCUCUUGCCAUUUGAUUAGCCCAAGUGAGAUUAGCUAGUUGGUGAGGUAAUGGCUCACCAAGGCGACGAUCUCUAGCUGGUUUGAGAGGAUGAUCAGCCACACUGGGACUGAGACACGGCCCAGACUCCUACGGGAGGCAGCAGUGGGGAAUAUUGCACAAUGGGCGAAAGCCUGAUGCAGCCAUGCCGCGUGUGUGAAGAAGGCCUUCGGGUUGUAAAGCACUUUCAGUUGUGAGGAAAGGGGUGUAGUUAAUAGCUGCAUCCUGUGACGUUAACAACAGAAGAAGCACCGGCUAACUCCGUGCCAGCAGCCGCGGUAAUACGGAGGGUGCGAGCGUUAAUCGGAAUUACUGGGCGUAAAGCGUGCGUAGGCGGUUUG
rnacentral:rRNA from 1 species